UUCGUUAAUUAAAUAUUGGUUGAAUUAUGUUGUUGUUUUUGGUUAAUACUUGUGGUUUAGGGUUUUGAUGUGGCCACGAUCUGUGAAAUGAAGCCUCUGUUUUUCUCUUCUUCUUCAUACUAUAACAACCCACUGCUAAAUUAACAUUGGACAAUGGGAUGAAAAUGCCUUAUUUGGCCCAUUCAACUGCUUUCCCUCAGGACCUGAGUUCGGGGAAGAUGAUUGGCACUGCUCGAAAUAAUAGGGGGCUCUAUUUCCUCUCCGAUGAUGCUUCUUCUAAAUGUCUAGGACUAGUUUAUUGUCUUCUCUUACUGUUUAUUCUACGUAUUCUUUCUUUUAGGUUACCAUUUUAUUCCUUUAGCUUUAUUUUGUUUGGUUAUACUACUGUUUGAUACAUUUAUUUUUUCUAAUGUUGCACUAUGGAUUAUUUCAAUUACCCCUUUGAUCUCUUUUGGUGUGACAUUCUUUUAGUUUCACCAUCUUGAUGAACCGUAUUUUGUAUGAGUCUUCUAGCUUCACUUUUAUAUUUUCUUUUCAUUUGAAUAUAUUUAUCUUUCUUUUCUGGUGGUUGUAUUUAUUCUAUACACAAGGGAU